UCGGGGACAGGGACACAGGUGCUGCAUGGCCGUCGUCAGCUCGUGUCGUGAGAUGUUGGGUUAAGUCCCGCAACGAGCGCAACCCUCGCUGUUAGUUGCCAUCAGGUUAAGCUGGGCACUCUAAUAGGACUGCCGGUGGUAAGCCGGAGGAAGGUGGGGAUGACGUCAAGUCCUCAUGGCCCUUACAAGGUGGGCUACACACGUGCUACAAUGGCGACUACAGAGGGCAGCAAUCCCGCGAGGGGGAGCCAAUCCUUAAAAGUCGUCUCAGUUCGGAUUGUACUCUGCAACUCGAGUGCAUGAAGUUGGAAUCGCUAGUAAUCGCGGAUCAGCAUGCCGCGGUGAAUACGUUCCCGGGCCUUGUACACACCGCCCGUCACA
rnacentral:rRNA from 1 species